GCUGGAUGUGGUGGAGCACACCUGCAAUCCCAGUGACUCAGGAGGCUGAGGCAGGAGGAUUGCAAGUUCAGAGCCAGCUUCAGUAACUUAGCAAGGCCCUGUUUCCA
rnacentral:sRNA from 1 species